rnacentral:rRNA from 1 species
AUGCAUUGGCUUUCAUGGGACAAACUCACGGUUCCUAAAUGUAAAGGCGGGAUGGAUUUCCGCGAUUUCAGAAAUUUCAAUUUGGCAAUGCUUGGGAAGCAUGGGUGGAGAUUGCUAACUGAGCCUGCUUCCUUGGUGCCUAGAGUUCUUAAAGGAAGAUACUUUCCAGAUUGUGGAUUCAUGCAGGCUUCUACUCCUGCGAGUUCCUCAUCUACUUGGCGUGCUAUCAUCGCUAGAAGAGAU